ensembl:lncRNA
GUGGGAAAUACACAGGGAGUGAGAGAGAAGAGAAUAAGAGAGUGGUGAAGCGAGGAGGGUACAACACCUCUUUUCCCCCCACAUUGCAGUCAACUGAGUUUAAAGUGAGACUGCGGAACAAAGGCGAACAGUGAAUUCUUUAUCUCAGUGGAUUUCUCCGUGUUUCAUGGUGAACAAUGUCUCCACUAUUAAAGAGCCUGAAACUCUCUGCAGGAGCCUGUUAACUAAUCAAGGAAGCUGGAACAAAGGGACACAUCAAUGAAGAGAUUGUGAGUGAAAGGGAAGAUUCCUUCUUCAACCAGAAACACAAACCAACUCCUUGGACUCUAUUGAUCACCUGACCGACCUCCACACUCGCACAACAUAGACGGACGGAUAAAGUGGUGCGGGGGAACGGGCGGAGAGACAGCAAAAAAACGACGGAGAGAGAGAACCAUUCCAGUGUCCUAUAAGCUGUUGUUUGUCUCCUUGAGGUGGCCUGCAGCCCUGAUACUUUUUGUCUUGCCUGUGGACCCGUUCUACCCCCCUUCUCUCUUUCUCCCUCCCUCAAUCUUUCUCACUCUUGCUCCAUCUCCUUCCCCUAAGUCACCCCAUCACCCUCCCUCCCUCUGUGUUCCCCUGCCCCUCUCGCUCCAUCCACUUUUCCCUUCCGAAGGCUAAGGAUUCCAGCGGCCCCUUUGAGAGAAGUGUGUGAAAAUGCACAAUGCAGGUCCCAUGGCGUGCCCACCCCCUCCCGCCCCC